AUGAAACUUGAUUUUUUUUCUAUAGCUGAUGGUGAUGCUGUUAAUCAGAAUUUGUUAAGAAGAGAACUGGAAUGUGCUUUUGAGACGUGAAGCGUAAGCAGAAAAUGGCCAACUGUGAGCUGCAAUGUGUUGUUGAUGAACCUCAGGCCCUUGUGAGUUAGAUUCCGCAACUCCUUGCCAAACACAGCUCAGGGAAAAGAAACCUCGCCUGCUAUAAGAGAACUCCACAGCAGCUGCAAUCAAUGCAACUCAGCAACAUCGAACUUAAGCCGUGCAGCUCACACACUGGGCCAAGUGUGUUUUACCCCGCUCCUACUUGAGAUGACAACAAUGAUGGAACCUGGCUGUUCCAGCAAGGCAGGCAGGGGCUCAAUGGUAGAUCAUGUCCGUCGUCUCAGUUUUUCCGGUUCCUCUGUGGUGGCCAUCUGCACCACCACCAGCUAAUCAAGGCACCAUGCAGGCACCUUUGAUGAUGGAAUGAAGACGGGCAUCCCAGCUGUCCACGAGACCAACUUCAUCAAAUCCUAUCUCAUGUAGCCUGAAAACAAAGAGUAAUGAAUUAUGAACAUUUAUGUUUGGUAGAAUACCCAGUGGGGGCUAGGCAGUCUUUUGACCUUGGAACCCCUGCAGAUUUUUUUUUGUUUUGUUUUCCUGUCUUCACCAAACUCAUAUGAGUAUAUAAGGACA